CCAGGAUGAUUCUUAGGUGGAUAGCUACAUCAGUACCAUCGGUGUUGAUUUCAAAAUCAGAACUGUGGAGUUGGAUGGCAAGACAAUCAAGCUGCAAAUUGUGAGUAUAAACAAUGUUUCUUCAAAGAAGGUGGUGCUAGGUAUUUGGGAUCAUGCUCAUUUAAGCCUAUAAUUGUUGUUUUGAAGUUUGUUUCUGCUCAAAACUUGUUCAAUUAGUCUUGUUUGGAACCUUAUAAUUAUACGUUCCAUUUAGUAAAGGUAGUUGAAUUUUGAGAAUCUUGAGUUGAACUGCUGGUUUCUCGUAGAAGAAAUAAUAAGCACAACAUAUAUUAUGUGGUUGAACUAUACUAUAAUUUUCAGCAUUGAUGUAAAAGGGCCACUUCAAUGUUUUGAUGCACCUGAAAAGAGAGUUUAAUUAUGUAACUGAUGCAAAAAUCUCAGUUGUGGCCA